rnacentral:rRNA from 1 species
GACGGAGGAUGCAAGUGUUAUCCGGAAUCACUGGGCGUAAAGCGUCUGUAGGUGGUCAAAUAAGACAACUGUUAAAUCUUGAGGCUCAACCUCAAAAUCGCAGUCGAAACUAUUAGACUAGAGUAUAGUAGGGGUAAAGGGAAUUUCCAGUGGAGCGGUGAAAUGCGUAGAGAUUGGAAAGAACACCGAUGGCGAAGGCACUUUACUGGGCUAUUACUAACACUCAGAGACGAAAGCUAGGGUAGCAAAUGGG